rnacentral:misc_RNA from 1 species
AACUUUCGACAACGGAUCUCUUGGCUCUCGCAUCGAUGAAGAAAGCAGCGAAAUGGGAUAAGUAAUGUGAAUUGCAGAAUUCAGUGAAUCAUCGAAUCUUUGAAUGCACCUUGCGCCCUUUGGCCAUUCCGAAGGGCAUGCCUGUUUGAGUAUCAUGAACACCUCAACUCAUCAUGGUUUUCAAUGAUGAGAUUGGACUUUGGGGGUUCUGCUGGCCUACGGUCAGCUCCUCUAAAAUAGAUCAGCUUACCAGUGUUUGGUGGGUAUCAUGGGUGUGAUAACUAUCUACGCUUAUGGUUUUUCCACCAGAUAACCUUCAGCAGUGGAGGUUCACUGGAGCUCAUAGACGUCACUCCUCAGUGAGGACAGCCCUUUGAAUGUUUGAUCUCAAAUCAGGUAGGACUACCCGCUGAACUUAAGCAUAUCAAUAAGCGGAGGCU